rnacentral:lncRNA from 1 species
AAGCCCAGUGCUGAAAUUCUCAUUGCUUUUUCUCUUCUUCAGUGACUUCCAAGUCUUCAAGCAAUGAAAAGCUGAUGCAUUGGCUUCUCAGCAGCUUCGGUGCUACAAGUGACGUGAAUACUGUGGAGACAGAGUAGAAGCGAGCAGCUCUGGAUAACAUCUUGGGUUCCUUUGCACGUACAUAGAAUAAAGUGCAGCUAGCAAGGCAGAAGACAGGAAGUUACAGAAGAAAAAGAUUGCUCAGAAAAGCAGAAAGGAUGUAGUACGUUAAGCUGGAGGUUUUUAAGAGACUGUAUCCAUCCAGGAUCGAAAGGAAGAUGGGAAUGUAAUUCAGCAGUUGUAUUUGGAGCAGCUGUUGUUCAGCUGUUGGACAGAGGCACUGGAAAAAAGGCUCUGAAACAUUGGCUGUGUAAGGAGGCAUGCCCUUCACAUCUUUGCAAAGAUCCUGGCUGACCUCU